rnacentral:rRNA from 1 species
GACGAACGCUGGCGGCGUGCUUAACACAUGCAAGUCGUACGGUAAGGCCCUUUCGGGGGUACACGAGUGGCGAACGGGUGGGUAACACGUGAGUAACCUGCCCACAACUUUGGGAUAACGCUAGGAAACUGGUGCUAAUACUGGAUAUGUACUCCUGCUGCAUGGUGGGGGUUGGAAAGCUCCGGCGGUUGUGGGUGGACUCGCGGCCUAUCAGCUUGUUGGUGGGGUAGUGGCCUACCAAGGCGGCGACGGGUAGCCGGCCUGAGAGGGUGACCGGCCACAUUGGGACUGAGAUACGGCCCAGACUCCUACGGGAGGCAGCAGUGGGGAAUAUUGCACAAUGGGCGCAAGCCUGAUGCAGCAACGCCGCGUGCGGGAUGACGGCCUUCGGGUUGUAAACCGCUUUCAGCAGGGACGAAGCUUUUUGUGACGGUACCUGCAGAAGAAGCACCGGCUAACUACGUG